GAUGAACGCUGGCGGCGUGCCUAAUACAUGCAAGUCGAGCGAACGGACGAGAAGCUUGCUUCUCUGAUGUUAGCGGCGGACGGGUGAGCAACACGUGGAUAACCUACCUAUAAGACUGGGAUAACUUCGGGAAACCGGAUCUAAUACCGGAUGAUAUUUUGAACCGCAUGGUUCAAAAGUGAAAGACGGUCUUGCUGUCACUUAUAGAUGGAUCCGCGCUGCAUUAGCUAGUUGGUAAGGUAACGGCUUACCAAGGCAACGAUGCAUAGCCGACCUGAGAGGGUGAUCGGCCACACUGGAACUGAGACACGGUCCAGACUCCUACGGGAGGCAGCAGUAGGGAAUCUUCCGCAAUGGGCGAAAGCCUGACGGAGCAACGCCGCGUGAGUGAUGAAGGUCUUCGGAUCGUAAAACUCUGUUAUUAGGGAAGAACAUAUGUGUAAGUAACUGUGCACAUCUUGACGGUACCUAAUCAGAAAGCCACGGCUAACUACGUG
rnacentral:rRNA from 1 species